AUGUAUGUUUUCAUGUAUGGGACUAUACCAUGGACUAUUAAUACUUUUACCUGUCAAAAAUGCACCUUGAGUCAUCGUAUUCCCUUCGGAUCUGUACAAAAUAAGACUCUAAUGAUUCUAGAGUGUAUGCCAGGAGUAUGGGUUCCUGUUGAUCUAACUGAACCAUGGUCAUGUACACCUACUGCUCAUUUCUUAAAAGUCCUGCUUGAUUGUCUUGUACACAGAAUAAAGAAAAUGCUGGGACUGAUGGUUGCUGGCAGAGUCUCUUUGGUAUUAUUGAUUUCAGGUGCAGCUGUUUCCUCUGUGGCCUUGGCCCACUCCGUUCAAACAGCUCAUUUCAUAGAUAAUUGGAUCAUGACUGCUGAUGAGGCCUGGAAAACACAGCAUUCGAUAGACGCUGAGAUGCAGUCCCAAUCUGUGGCAGAGGGGCCCAGAUCAAAUGACGUCCGGAGACGGUGGAACCACAGGUCACAAUGAUUCAACUUCUACAAGCCGAUAAAAAGAAAGGGAGAUCUCUCGAGAGAAUUCUACAUAAUUUUAGGGGAAAAUCAUUUCAUAAUUAAAUUGUUGUUGGGGCUGUUUGAGGCCUGGUCUUCUUGCCGUGCAGUCAGGUUUGGCACUCGGAAACAACUCCAUUUUGCCUCUGGUCACAGCUGAGGCCUCAGUGGUCCUGUUAUGCCGUGAUGAUGAAGACAUUCUGGUUCUUUGAGAGCCGAGUAGUAGUAGUAGUAGUAGUAAUA
rnacentral:lncRNA from 1 species